GUUAAAUAUAUCGUAACAAAAUCAAUAAGGCAACGCUUGCAGAUUAAAAAAUGUGGAAUGCAAUGUCUAAAAUGAAUUUAUAUGAGAAAUGAAAUGAGAUUACAGCGAGAGAAAUCUUGUCUAUAACAAGUUGGCAUGCGAGAUUGGAUCCUAAAAAAUUGAAUCACCAUCCAACAAAAUAUAAUAGCUUUUAGAAAGUACGAGGAUCUAUCCGUGGAGACGUACUAUAGAGAUUAGAAACAUAUGCACCAUUCAGACAGGCAUAUAACAGGACUUUUCAAUAGUAAUAAAAUUGGCACUUACCCUAUACUUGAACCACCUGUAUUAUUAAUACUUGAUGGAUGAAUUGAUAUUCCACUGCUGUAACUACUUUCAUUAACAAG